rnacentral:rRNA from 1 species
CGAACGGGUGAGUAAUACAUCGGAACGUGUCCGCUCGUGGGGGACAACCAGCCGAAAGGUUGGCUAAUACCGCAUGAGUUCUACGGAAGAAAGAGGGGGACCCGCAAGGGCCUCUCGCGAGCGGAGCGGCCGAUGACUGAUUAGCCUGUUGGUGAGGUAACGGCUCACCAAAGCAACGAUCAGUAGCUGGUCUGAGAGGACAACCAGCCACACUGGGACUGAGACACGGCCCAGACUCCUACGGGAGGCAGCAG